rnacentral:rRNA from 1 species
UCAGGCCUAACACAUGCAAGUCGAGCGGAAACGAGUUAUCUGAACCUUCGGGGAACGAUAACGGCGUCGAGCGGCGGACGGGUGAGUAAUGCCUAGGAAAUUGCCCUGAUGUGGGGGAUAACCAUUGGAAACGAUGGCUAAUACCGCAUGAUGCCUACGGGCCAAAGAGGGGGACCUUCGGGCCUCUCGCGUCAGGAUAUGCCUAGGUGGGAUUAGCUAGUUGGUGAGGUAAGGGCUCACCAAGGCGACGAUCCCUAGCUGGUCUGAGAGGAUGAUCAGCCACACUGGAACUGAGACACGGUCCAGACUCCUACGGGAGGCAGCAGUGGGGAAUAUUGCACAAUGGGCGCAAGCCUGAUGCAGCCAUGCCGCGUGUGUGAAGAAGGCCUUCGGGUUGUAAAGCACUUUCAGUCGUGAGGAAGGUAGUGCCGUUAAUAGCGGCAUUACUUGACGUUAGCGACAGAAGAAGCACCGGCUAACUCCGUGCCAGCAGCCGCGGUAAUACGGAGGGUGCGAGCGUUAAUCGGAAUUACUGGGCGUAAAGCGCAUGCAGGUGGUUUGUUAAGUCAGAUGUGAAAGCCCGGGGCUCAACCUCGGAAUAGCAUUUGAAACUGGCAGACUAGAGUAUUGUAGAGGGGGGUAGAAUUUCA